GACGAACGCUGGCGGCGUGCUUAACACAUGCAAGUCGAACGGAAAGGCCCUGCUUUUGUGGGGUGCUCGAGUGGCGAACGGGUGAGUAACACGUGAGUAACCUGCCCUUGACUUUGGGAUAACUUCAGGAAACUGGGGCUAAUACCGGAUAGGAGCUCCUGCUGCAUGGUGGGGGUUGGAAAGUUUCGGCGGUUGGGGAUGGACUCGCGGCUUAUCAGCUUGUUGGUGGGGUAGUGGCUUACCAAGGCUUUGACGGGUAGCCGGCCUGAGAGGGUGACCGGCCACAUUGGGACUGAGAUACGGCCCAGACUCCUACGGGAGGCAGCAGUGGGGAAUAUUGCACAAUGGGCGGAAGCCUGAUGCAGCAACGCCGCGUGCGGGAUGACGGCCUUCGGGUUGUAAACCGCUUUCGCCUGUGACGAAGCGUGAGUGACGGUAAUGGGUAAAGAAGCACCGGCUAACUACGUGCCAGCAGCCGCGGUGAUACGUAGGGUGCGAGCGUUGUCCGGAUUUAUUGGGCAUAAAGGGCUCGUAGGUGGUUGAUCGCGUCGGAAGUGUAAUCUUGGGGCUUAACCCUGAGCGUGCUUUCGAUACGGGUUGACUUGAGGAAGGUAGGGGAGAAUGGAAUUCCUGGUGGAGCGGUGGAAUGCGCAGAUAUCAGGAGGAACACCAGUGGCGAAGGCGGUUCUCUGGGCCUUUCCUGACGCUGAGGAGCGAAAGCGUGGGGAGCGAACAGGCUUAGAUACCCUGGUAGUCCACGCUGUAAACGGUGGGUACUAGGUGUGGGGUCCAUUCCACGGGUUCCGUGCCGUAGCUAACGCUUUAAGUACCCCGCCUGGGGAGUACGGCCGCAAGGCUAAAACUCAAAGGAAUUGACGGGGCCCCGCACAAGCGGCGGAGCAUGCGGAUUAAUUCGAUGCAACGCGUAGAACCUUACCUGGGUUUGACAUGGAUCGGGAGCGCUCAGAGAUGGGUGUGCCUCUUUUGGGGUCGGUUCACAGGUGGUGCAUGGCUGUCGUCAGCUCGUGUCGUGAGAUGUUGGGUUAAGUCCCGCAACGAGCGCAACCCUUGUUCACUGUUGCCAGCACGUUAUGGUGGGGACUCAGUGGAGACCGCCGGGGUCAACUCGGAGGAAGGUGGGGAUGACGUCAAGUCAUCAUGCCCCUUAUGUCCAGGGCUUCACGCAUGCUACAAUGGCUGGUACAGAGAGUGGCGAGCCUGUGAGGGUGAGCGAAUCUCGGAAAGCCGGUCUCAGUUCGGAUUGGGGUCUGCAACUCGACCUCAUGAAGUCGGAGUCGCUAGUAAUCGCAGAUCAGCAACGCUGCGGUGAAUACGUUCCCGGG
rnacentral:rRNA from 1 species